GGCUUUGUGGUCUAGUGGUAGGAUUCUCGCUUUGGGUUGAAGUUACCUUCAUUUCAAACUUGCGAGAGGUCCCGGGUUCAAUCCCCGGCGAAGCCC